GCGCCUGGGCGGAGGCUACACAUGCAAGUCGAGCGGUAGCACAGAGAGCUUGCUCUCGGGUGACGAGCGGCGGACGGGUGAGUAAUGUCUGGGAAACUGCCUGAUGGAGGGGGAUAACUACUGGAAACGGUAGCUAAUACCGCAUAAUGUCGCAAGACCAAAGUGGGGGACCUUCGGGCCUCAUGCCAUCAGAUGUGCCCAGAUGGGAUUAGCUAGUAGGUGGGGUAACGGCUCACCUAGGCGACGAUCCCUAGCUGGUCUGAGAGGAUGACCAGCCACACUGGAACUGAGACACGGUCCAGACUCCUACGGGAGGCAGCAGUGGGGAAUAUUGCACAAUGGGCGCAAGCCUGAUGCAGCCAUGCCGCGUGUGUGAAGAAGGCCUUCGGGUUGUAAAGCACUUUCAGCGGGGAGGAAGGCGUUGAGGUUAAUAACCUUGGCGAUUGACGUUACCCGCAGAAGAAGCACCGGCUAACUCCGUGCCAGCAGCCGCGGUAAUACGGAGGGUGCAAGCGUUAAUCGGAAUUACUGGGCGUAAAGCGCACGCAGGCGGUCUGUCAAGUCGGAUGUGAAAUCCCCGGGCUCAACCUGGGAACUGCAUUCGAAACUGGCAGGCUAGAGUCUUGUAGAGGGGGGUAGAAUUCCAGGUGUAGCGGUGAAAUGCGUAGAGAUCUGGAGGAAUACCGGUGGCGAAGGCGGCCCCCUGGACAAAGACUGACGCUCAGGUGCGAAAGCGUGGGGAGCAAACAGGAUUAGAUACCCUGGUAGUCCACGCCGUAAACGAUGUCGAUUUGGAGGUUGUGCCCUUGAGGCGUGGCUUCCGGAGCUAACGCGUUAAAUCGACCGCCUGGGGAGUACGGCCGCAAGGUUAAAACUCAAAUGAAUUGACGGGGGCCCGCACAAGCGGUGGAGCAUGUGGUUUAAUUCGAUGCAACGCGAAGAACCUUACCUGGUCUUGACAUCCACAGAACUUUCCAGAGAUGGAUUGGUGCCUUCGGGAACUGUGAGACAGGUGCUGCAUGGCUGUCGUCAGCUCGUGUUGUGAAAUGUUGGGGUUAAGUCCCGCAACGAGCGCAACCCUUAAUCCUUUGUUGCCAGCGGUCCGGCCGGGGAACUCAAAGGAGACUGCCAGUGAUAAACUGGAAGGAAGGUGGGGGAUGACGUCAAGUCAUCAUGGCCCCUUACGACCAGGGGCUACCACCGUGGCUACAAUGGCCAUUAACAAAGAGAACCAACCUCCGCGAAAGCAAGCGGAACUCCUAAAGUAUGUCCUAAUCCGGAAUGGGAAUUUGGAACUUCGACUCCCUGGAAGUCCGGAAUCCCUAGAAAUCGGAAAAUCAAAAAGUUCACGGGGAAAUAAUUUCCGGGGCCUUUGAAACACCC
rnacentral:rRNA from 1 species